rnacentral:rRNA from 1 species
UACGUAGGGUGCGAGCGUUGUCCGGAAUUAUUGGGCGUAAAGAGCUUGUAGGUGGUUUGUCGCGUCUGCUGUGAAAAUCCGGGGCUCAACCCCGGACUUGCAGUGGGUACGGGCAGACUGGAGUGUGGUAGGGGAGACUGGAAUUCCUGGUGUAGCGGUGGAAUGCGCAGAUAUCAGGAGGAACACCGAUGGCGAAGGCAGGUCUCUGGGCCACUACUGACGCUGAGAAGCGAUAGCAUGGGGAGCGAACAGG